rnacentral:rRNA from 1 species
AUUGAACGCUGGCGGCAAGCUUAACACAUGCAAGUCGAGCGGUAACAGGAGAAGCUUGCUUCUUGCUGACGAGCGGCGGACGGGUGAGUAAUACUUAGGAAUCUGCCCAGUAGUGGGGGAUAGCUCGGGGAAACUCGAAUUAAUACCGCAUACACCCUACGGGGAAAAGGGGGCGCUUGCGCUCUCGCUAUUGGAUGAGCCUAAGUCGGAUUAGCUAGUUGGUGGGGUAAAGGCCUACCAAGGCGACGAUCUGUAGCUGGUCUGAGAGGAUGAUCAGCCACACCGGGACUGAGACACGGCCCGGACUCCUACGGGAGGCAGCAGUGGGGAAUAUUGGACAAUGGGGGCAACCCUGAUCCAGCCAUGCCGCGUGUGUGAAGAAGGCCUUUUGGUUGUAAAGCACUUUAAGCAGUGAAGAAGACUCUAUGGUUAAUACCCAUAGACGAUGACAUUAGCUGCAGAAUAAGCACCGGCUAACUCUGUGCCAGCAGCCGCGGUAAUACAGAGGGUGCAAGCGUUAAUCGGAAUUACUGGGCGUAAAGCGAGCGUAGGUGGCUUGAUAAGUCAGAUGUGAAAUCCCCGGGCUUAACCUGGGAACUGCAUCUGAUACUGUUAGGCUAGAGUAGGUGAGAGGGAGGUAGAAUUUCAGGUGUAGCGGUGAAAUGCGUAGAGAUCUGAAGGAAUACCGAUGGCGAAGGCAGCCUCCUGGCAUCAUACUGACACUGAGGUUCGAAAGCGUGGGUAGCAAACAGGAUUAGAUACCCUGGUAGUCCACGCCGUAAACGAUGUCUACUAGUCGUUGGGGAACUUGAUUCCUUAGUGACGCAGCUAACGCAGUAAGUAGACCGCCUGGGGAGUACGGCCGCAAGGUUAAAACUCAAAUGAAUUGACGGGGGCCCGCACAAGCGGUGGAGCAUGUGGUUUAAUUCGAUGCAACGCGAAGAACCUUACCUGGUCUUGACAUAUCUAGAAUCCUGCAGAGAUGCGGGAGUGCCUUCGGGAAUUAGAAUACAGGUGCUGCAUGGCUGUCGUCAGCUCGUGUCGUGAGAUGUUGGGUUAAGUCCCGCAACGAGCGCAACCCUUUUCCUUAGUUACCAGCGGUUUGGCCGGGGACUCUAAGGAUACUGCCAGUGACAAACUGGAGGAAGGCGGGGACGACGUCAAGUCAUCAUGGCCCUUACGACCAGGGCUACACACGUGCUACAAUGGUAGGUACAGAGGGCGGCUACACAGCGAUGUGAUGCGAAUCUCAAAAAGCCUAUCGUAGUCCAGAUUGGAGUCUGCAACUCGACUCCAUGAAGUCGGAAUCGCUAGUAAUCGCGGAUCAGAAUGCCGCGGUGAAUACGUUCCCGGGCCU